AAUCCCCUCCACCGAAUGCCUAAGGUUUCCUGAGGAAGGCUCGUCCGCUCAGGGUUAGUCGGGACCUAAGCCGAGGCCGAAAGGCGUAGGCGAUGGACAACAGGUUGAUAUUCCUGUACCACCUCCUCACCAUUUGAGCAAUGGGGGGACGCAGGAGGAUAGGGUAAGCGCGGUAUUGGAUAUCCGCGUCCAAGCAGUUAGGCUGGGAAAUAGGCAAAUCCGUUUCCCAUAAGGCUGAGCUGUGAUGGCGAGCGAAAUAUAGUAGCGAAGUUCCUGAUUCCACACUGCCAAGAAAAGCCUCUAGCGAGGUGAGAGGUGCCCGUACCGCAAACCGACACAGGUAGGCGAGGAGAGAAUCCUAAGGUGAUCGAGAGAACUCUCGUUAAGGAACUCGGCAAAAUGACCCCGUAACUUCGGGAGAAGGGGUGCUCUGUUAGGGUGCAAGCCCGAGAGAGCCGCAGUGAAUAGGCCCAGGCGACUGUUUAGCAAAAACACAGGUCUCUGCGAAGCCGUAAGGCGAAGUAUAGGGGCUGACGCCUGCCCGGUGCUGGAAGGUUAAGAGGAGCGCUUAGCGUAAGCGAAGGUGCGAAUUGAAGCCCCAGUAAACGGCGGCCGUAACAAUAACGGUCCUAAGGUAGCGAAAUUCCUUGUCGGGUAAGUUCCGACCCGCACGAAAGGCGCAACGAUCUGGGCACUGGCUCAACGAGAGACUCGGUGAAAUUAUAGUACCUGUGAAGAUGCAGGUUACCCGCGACAGGACGGAAAGACCCCGUGGAGCUUUACUGCAGCCUGAUAUUGAAUGUUGGUACAGCUUGUACAGGAUAGGUAGGAGCCUUGGAAACCGGAGCGCCAGCUUCGGUGGAGGCAUCGGUGGGAUACUACCCUGGCUGUAUUGACCUUCUAACCCGCCGCCCUUAUCGGGCGGGGAGACAGUGUCAGGAGGGCAGUUUGACUGGGGCGGUCGCCUCCUAAAAGGUAACGGAGGCGCCCAAAGGUUCCCUCAGAAUGGUUGGGAAUCAUUCGCAGAGUGUAAAGGCACAAGGGAGCUUGACUGCGAGACCUACAAGUCGAGCAGGGACGAAAGUCGGGCUUAGUGAUCCGGUGGUUCCGCAUGGAAGGGCCAUCGCUCAACGGAUAAAAGCUACCCCGGGGAUAACAGGCUUAUCUCCCCCAAGAGUCCACAUCGACGGGGAGGUUUGGCACCUCGAUGUCGGCUCAUCGCAUCCUGGGGCUGUAGUCGGUCCCAAGGGUUGGGCUGUUCGCCCAUUAAAGCGGUACGCGAGCUGGGUUCAGAACGUCGUGAGACAGUUCGGUCCCUAUCCGUCGCGGGCGCAGGAAAUUUGAGAGGAGCUGUCCUUAGUACGAGAGGACCGGGAUGGACGCACCGCUGGUGUACCAGUUGUUCUGCCAAGGGCAUCGCUGGGUAGCUAUGUGCGGACGGGAUAAGUGCUGAAAGCAUCUAAGCAUGAAGCCCCCCUCAAGAUGAGAUUUCCCAUUCCGCAAGGAAGUAAGAUCCCUGAAAGAUGAUCAGGUUGAUAGGUCUGAGGUGGAAGUGUGGCGACACAUGGAGCUGACAGAUACUAAUCGAUCGAGGACUUAAUC
rnacentral:rRNA from 1 species